AUCGCUUCUCGGCCUUUUGGCUAAGAUCAAGUGUAGUAUCUGUUCUUAUCAGUUUAAUAUCUGAUACGUCCCCCAUCGGGGGACUAUACAUAUUAAAUGGAUUUUUCGAACAGGGAGUCGGAAGCGGGGCUUGCUCCGUCCGCUCCACGCAUCGACUCGGUAUUGCAGUACCUCCGAGAACGGUGCACCCUCU
ensembl:snRNA U2 U2 spliceosomal RNA